rnacentral:rRNA from 1 species
AUGAACGCUGGCGGCGUGCCUAAUACAUGCAAGUCGAGCGAACAGACGAGGAGCUUGCUCCUUUGACGUUAGCGGCGGACGGGUGAGUAACACGUAGGUAACCUACCUAUAAGACUGGGAUAACUUCGGGAAACCGGAGCUAAUACCGGAUAAUAUUUCGAACCGCAUGGUUCGAUAGUGAAAGAUGGCUUUGCUAUCACUUAUAGAUGGACCUGCGCCGUAUUAGCUAGUUGGUAAGGUAACGGCUUCCAAGGCAACGAUACGUAGCCGACCUGAGAGGGUGAUCGGCCACACUGGAACUGAGACACGGUCCAGACUCCUACGGGAGGCAGCAGUAGGGAAUCUUCCGCAAUGGGCGAAAGCCUGACGGAGCAACGCCGCGUGAGUGAUGAAGGUCUUCGGAUCGUAAAACUCUGUUAUUAGGGAAGAACAAACGUGUAAGUAACUGUGCACGUCUUGACGGUACCUAAUCAGAAAGCCACGGCUAACUACGUG